GACGGAGGAUGCAAGCGUUAUCCGGAAUGAUUGGGCGUAAAGCGUCCGCAGGUGGCAGUUCAAGUCUGCUGUCAAAGACCGGGGCUUAACUUCAAAGAUGCCGUGGAAACUUUCAAACUAGAGUAUGGUAGGGGUAGAGGGAAUUUCCAGUGGAGCGGUGAAAUGCGUAGAUAUUGGAAAGACCACCGAUGGCGAAGGCACUCUACUGGGCCAUUACUGACACUGAGAGACGAAAGCUAGGGGAGCAAAUGGG
rnacentral:rRNA from 1 species